rnacentral:sRNA from 1 species
GCCAGGUGUGGUGGCACACGCCUGUAAUCCCAGCGUCUUAGGAGGCUGAUGCAGGAGGAUUGCAAGUUCAAAGCCAGCCUCAGCAAUUUAGCAAGGCCCUAAGCAACUUAGUGAGACCCUGUCUCAA